rnacentral:rRNA from 1 species
AUUGAACGCUGGCGGCAUGCCUUACACAUACAAGUCGAACGGUAACAGGCCGCAAGGUGCUGACGAGCGGCGAACGGGUGAGUAAUGCAUCGGAACGUGCCCAGUAGUGGGGGAUAGCCCGGCGAAAGCCGGAUUAAUACCGCAUACGACCUGAGGGUGAAAGGGGGGGAUCACAAGACCUCUAGCUAUUGGAGCGGCCGAUGGGAGAUUAGCUAGUUGGUGGGGUAAAGGCCUACCAAGGCAAAGAUCUGUAGUUGGUCUGAGAGGACGACCAGCCACACUGGGACUGAGACACGGCCCAGACUCCUACGGGAGGCAGCAGUGGGGAAUUUUGGACAAUGGGCGCAAGCCUGAUCCAGCAAUGCCGCGUGCAGGAAGAAGGCCUUCGGGUUGUAAACUGCUUUUGUCAGGGAAGAAAUCUUCUGGGUUAAUACCUCGGGAGGAUGACGGUACCUGAAGAAUAAGCACCGGCUAACUACGUGCCAGCCGCCGCAGUAAUAC